CUGGCGGCGUGCCUAACACAUGCAAGUCGAACGAGAAAGUGGAGCAAUCCAUGAGUAAAGUGGCGACCGGGUGAGUAACACGUGACUACCUGCCCUUGAGUGGGGGAUAACCUCGGGAAACCGAGGCUAAUACCGCAUAACAUCGCAAGAUCAAAGGAGCAAUCCGCUUUUGGAGGGGGUCGCGGCUGAUUAACUAGUUGGUGAGGUAAUGGCUCACCAAGGCGAAGAUCGGUAUCCGGCCUGAGAGGGCACACGGACACACUGGAACUGAAACACGGUCCAGACUCCUACGGGAGGCAGCAGUGGGGAAUUUUGCGCAAUGGGGGAAACCCUGACGCAGCAACGCCGCGUGGAGGAUGAAGCCCCUUGGGGCGUAAACUCCUUUCGACUGGGAAGAUAAUGACGGUACCAGUGGAAGAAGCACCGGCUAACUCUGUGCCAGCAGCCGCGGUAAUACAGAGGGUGCGAGCGUUGUUCGGAAUUAUUGGGCGUAAAGGGCGCG
rnacentral:rRNA from 1 species